rnacentral:rRNA from 1 species
UACGGGGGGAGCAAGCGUUGUUCGGAUUUACUGGGCGUAAAGGGCGCGUAGGCGGCCAGCACAAGUCGGCUGUGAAAUCUCCGGGCUUAACUCGGAAAGGUCAACCGAUACUGUGGGGCUAGAGUCCGGAAGAGGCGAGUGGAAUUCCUGGUGUAGCGGUGGAAUGCGCAGAUAUCAGGAGGAACACCAAUAGCGAAGGCAGCUCGCUGGGACGGUACUGACGCUAAGGCGCGAAAGCGUGGGGAGCGAACAGG